rnacentral:rRNA from 1 species
UACGUAGGGUGCAAGCGUUAAUCGGACUUACUGGGCGUAAAGCGUGCGCAGGCGGCUUUGCAAGACAGAUGUGAAAUCCCCGGGCUCAACCUGGGAACUGCAUUUGUGACUGCAUGGCUGGAGUGCGGCAGAGGGGGAUGGAAUUCCGCGUGUAGCAGUGAAAUGCGUAGAUAUGCGGAGGAACACCGAUGGCGAAGGCAAUCCCCUGGGCCUGCACUGACGCUCAUGCACGAAAGCGUGGGGAGCAAACAGG